rnacentral:lncRNA from 1 species
GCACCAAACAAGGAAACCUUGUUGGCGGCACCAAACAAGGAUUCCUUGUUGGCGGCACCACCUUAAAUAUUAAGGGUGGUCGGUUGGUGGGGGGAAGAAGGAGAGGGGAAGAAGAAGAAAGAAAGGAAGAAGGAAAAGGAAAGGAGAGGAAAGAAAGAAAGAAAAAGAAUGAAAGAAAAGGAAAGGGGAGGAAAGAAAGAAAAAUAAGGAAAGAAAAGGAAAGGAGAAGAGGAAAAAAAAGAAAGAAGAAGAAGAGGGAAAGAAGGAAGGAAGAAAAAAGAAAAUAAGGUAAUUAUUAUUAU